rnacentral:lncRNA from 1 species
CCUUGGGGAGGAGAGGCCCACGUGGAAAGGAGCCCACGGCCCUGGCUGUGCUCCCAGCUGAUUAGCACCAGUGUGCCAGGCCUGGGGGCCGCUGUCCUGGGCACCCCCAGUCACGUCGUCCCAUCUGACAGCACAUGGAGCAGAGAUUAACCAGGCUGUGUGCAAUGUGGACAUAUAUUCUGGAAAUGGCAUAAAUUAUCCCACUUCGUUUGCCUUCUCUGUUGCUUGGUGAGACUGACCCUACUUGGAAAAACUUCAGAUUGGGCCAAACAAGGGUAUUCUUUGGGCUGAAAGAAUGUCCCUGAAAACUCUGAUUUUAUAUACAGCAGAAUGGAAUAACAGCAAACAACAUUGGAGGAGGACUUGUCUGGGAGAGCAGCCAUUUUAAAGAAGAGCACAUUAAGUCACAAACAGUCGCAGCUGAUCUACUUUGCAGCAUCGCCAUACAUGCCUAACUAAAUAUUGAAAUCCCGGGAAAAACUCACUGUGCAUCAUGUUCCAGAAACUAGCUUUGCAAACAGUCUUUUCAGAUGUGUACAUUUUGUGUAUUUGAGGCAUAUAAUAUAUAUAUUUUCCUCCAUGUUCACCCAA